rfam:Gossypium hirsutum cultivar TM-1 chromosome 9, whole genome shotgun sequence
AAUCCAUGCAUUGGAAACUUUCAAAUUAACUCCUUAAAUUGUUCCCAAGCAUCAUAUAACGUUUCAUCCUCCAAUUACAAAAAAGAUAUGAUGUCAUUUCUAAGCUU